GUCCACGCCCUAAACGAUGUAUGCUUGGUGUUGGACGCUUGUCGUUCAGUGCCGGAGGUAACCCGUUAAGCAUACCACCUGGGGAGUACGAUCGCAAGGUUGAAACUCAAAGGAAUUGACGGGGGCCCGCACAAGCGGUGGAUCAUGUGGUUUAAUUCGAUGCAACGCGAAGAACCUUACCCGGGCUUGAAGUGUAGUGGUAAGCCGCCGAAAAGGUGGCCCUCUUUCGGGACUACUAUAGAGGUGCUGCAUGGCUGUCGU
rnacentral:rRNA from 1 species